rnacentral:rRNA from 1 species
UACGUAGGGUGCAAGCGUUAAUCGGAAUUACUGGGCGUAAAGCGUGCGCAGGCGGUUUUGUAAGUUUGUCGUGAAAGCCCCGGGCUCAACCUGGGAAUUGCGAUGAAGACUGCAAGGCUUGAAUCUGGCAGAGGGGGGUAGAAUUCCACGUGUAGCAGUGAAAUGCGUAGAGAUGUGGAGGAACACCGAUGGCGAAGGCAGCCCCCUGGGUCAAGAUUGACGCUCAUGCACGAAAGCGUGGGGGAGCAAACAGGA